UAGAAAGCUAAAAAGCAAGAAAAGACACCACAAGACCAGGACCAACCAGCCAAGACUUAUUCCUACACAUGAACCAUUCUCCAGUCCUCCCUCCCUAGGUGUGCUCCAAAUCCAAGACUCCCUGCCAUGGUCCUUUGCCCAGAUCCAGGCUGCCACGUCUUCGAUUGCUCACAUCUGCACUUGAUCGUGGUCUUCGGCGACAGCCUGCAAGGGAGAGGAGACCUGACGGUGGGGAUUGAAGCGGUGCGAUGGAGAUCCGGCGGGAGGGAAGACCAGUGCUUGCUCCCGCCGAGCGUGUUCUCGACUGCGCCUCCUCCUUCCCACCUCAAAGAAAUCAGUUCGAUUUAAUCUACCACAGGUAAUGCUUCACUUGCAAUGUUACCUGGCAAAUACAACUUCUUAGUGCUUUUGAAGGUAGCUGCUGCGGUGAGAGAGUCUGGUACGUCUUGGAUCUUCUUGGUUUGGACUUGACCAAAAGCAAUGAAUAGUCAGGCAGAUAUUCCUCUAGACGAAAAAUGUCUGCAUGCUUUGCUUUGUUGAAUAGAUAAAGUGGGUCAAAACGGGAGUCCUAAUGUGCAAGCAGUUGGUCAAGAAGCUGAGGAUAUCCCAUUCCAAAAAAAAUAUGUGCCUUCUUUGCAUGUAAUCAAGCCAUGCAGAUUUAAUCUUUGAUCAAGCCAAGAUCAGUUUUGUCACUAUCUGAAUUUGCCGUAGGAAAAUGGCAGAUUUCCUUCUCACAGGCAUAAUUGCAGACUGUCAAUAACUCAAUACUUUGAAAGGGUAGCUUUGCCCAGAGUUAAUUGUGACAACAUGAGCAACGGUGAAGAAGAAGAAAGAGCAUGAAUUCCAUGACUAAAUAUUGUGGUCUAUUUUGUAAAUCCAUUGCCGGGGUAUCUGUUCAUGUAAUCCACAAAAAGACUUGGCCCGUAAAUCCACCGCAGUUAACAUUCUUGGCCCCCACAAGAAUAUGGGUAUAUUUCACAAUUCAAAUUGAAGGCUCCCAUUAAAUAAUUAUAGGUGUAUUUGGUGGAUGACUCGAGUUCAGUUUCGAUGGAAUGUACACUUUCUCUUCAAAUUCAGCUUGAUUUUUUUCUCAGUUUAUAAGUUAGACAUGUGCAGUGUAUUGUGCUUGGUUGUAUGAAAUGGAGUACUGAUCUUUUUUUUAACUAUUAAUUUGCAUGGAAAUUGAAAUGAAUCCUGAUUUCAUCUUUAUUUA